rnacentral:rRNA from 1 species
AUUGAACGCUGGCGGCAGGCCUAACACAUGCAAGUCGAGCGGAUGAAGGGAGCUUGCUCCUGGAUUCAGCGGCGGACGGGUGAGUAAUGCCUAGGAAUCUGCCUGGUAGUGGGGGAUAACGUCCGGAAACGGGCGCUAAUACCGCAUACGUCCUGAGGGCGAAAGUGGGGGAUCUUCGGAUCUCACGCUAUCAGAUGAGCCUAGGUCGGCUUAGCUAGUUGGUGGGGUAAAGGCCUACCAAGGCGACGAUCCGUAACUGGUCUGAGAGGAUGAUCAGUCACACUAGAGCGGGGACACGCACCAUGCGCCUACGAGAGGGAGCAGAGGGGAAUAUGAGACAGUGGGCGGGAACCUGGUCCAACCGGGCCGCGCCUGAUGAAGAGGUCUUCGGAGUGGAAAGCACGUUUUCGUGUGGGAAAGGGCAUUAAGUAAGGAACAAGCUAUAUUGACGGUACCUGCAGAAGAAGCACCGGCUAACUACGUG